rnacentral:rRNA from 1 species
AAAUUGAAGAGUUUGAUCAUGGCUCAGAUUGAACGCUGGCGGCAGGCCUAACACAUGCAAGUCGAACGGUAACAGGAAGCGCUUGCUGCUUCGCUGACGAGUGGCGGACGGGUGAGUAAUGUCUGGGAAACUGCCUGAUGGAGGGGGAUAACUACUGGAAACGGUAGCUAAUACCGCAUAACGUCGCAAGACCAAAGAGGGGGACCUUCGGGCCUCUUGCCAUCGGAUGUGCCCAGAUGGGAUUAGCUUGUUGGUG